rnacentral:rRNA from 2 species
CAGUGUACCCGCGGCAAGACGGAAAGACCCCGUGAACCUUUACUAUAGCUUGACACUGAACAUUGAGCCUUGAUGUGUAGGAUAGGUGGGAGGCUUUGAAGUGUGGACGCCAGUCUGCAUGGAGCCGGCCUUGAAAUACCACCCUUUAAUGUUUGAUGUUCUAACGUUGACCCGUAAUCCGGGUUGCGGACAGUGUCUGGUGGGUAGUUUGACUGGGGCGGUCUCCUCCUAAAGAGUAACGGAGGAGCACGAAGG